rnacentral:rRNA from 1 species
AACGAACGCUGGCGGCAGGCUUAACACAUGCAAGUCGAGCGCCCCGCAAGGGGAGCGGCAGACGGGUGAGUAACGCGUGGGAAUCUACCCAUCUCUACGGAAUAACGCAUGGAAACGUGUGCUAAUACCGUAUACGUCCUUCGGGAGAAAGAUUUAUCGGAGAUGGAUGAGCCCGCGUUGGAUUAGCUAGUUGGUGGGUAAAGGCCUACGAAGUCGACGAUCCAUAGCUGGUCUGAGAGGAUGAUCAGCCACACUGGGACUGAGACACGGCCCAGACUCCUACGGGAGGCAGCAGUGGGGAAUAUUGGACAAUGGGCGCAAGCCUGAUCCAGCCAUGCCGCGUGAGUGAUGAAGGCCCUAGGGUUGUAAAGCUCUUUCACCGGUGAAGAUAAUGACGGUAACCGGAGAAGAAGCCCCGGCUAACUUCGUGCCAGCAGCCGCGGUAACAC